rnacentral:lncRNA from 1 species
UAGAUUCCCAGCCGUAAUAUUCAUUAUAAUUUUCAGACUCGCCCCCUUUAAUAUUUGGCACCGAGUACACACCUUUGUCUUUCGAGCUCACAUGGUCGGAUUGCAAGGAACCAGCAAUGAGAGUGUCAUCAAAUGCUGUCAUAUGGGGGUAAGAUUCACUUGGAGGACAUUUAUCCGAAUCACACACCGAACAUUGGCUGCAUUAAAGCUCACUCUUCAGAUGUUGACCACCAUU